AUGAACGCUGGCGGCGUGCCUAAUACAUGCAAGUCGAGCGAACAGACGAGGAGCUUGCUCCUCUGACGUUAGCGGCGGACGGGUGAGUAACACGUGGAUAACCUACCUAUAAGACUGGGAUAACUUCGGGAAACCGGAGCUAAUACCGGAUAAUAUAUUGAACCGCAUGGUUCAAUAGUGAAAGACGGUUUUGCUGUCACUUAUAGAUGGAUCCGCGCCGCAUUAGCUAGUUGGUAAGGUAACGGCUUACCAAGGCAACGAUGCGUAGCCGACCUGAGAGGGUGAUCGGCCACACUGGAACUGAGACACGGUCCAGACUCCUACGGGGGGCAGCAGUAGGGAAUCUUCCGCAAUGGGCGAAAGCCUGACGGAGCAACGCCGCGUGACUGAUGAAGGUCUUCGGAUCGUAAAACUCUGUUAUUAGGGAAGAACAAAUGUGUAAGUAACUAUGCACGUCUUGACGGUACCUAAUCAGAAAGCCACGGCUAACUACGUG
rnacentral:rRNA from 1 species